rnacentral:rRNA from 1 species
CUUUAAUGGAUAACUGCGGUAAAUCUGGAGCUAAUACAUGUCACAAAAGCUAGGCUCGCCUAGCUGCAGGUAUUAGUGCAAACCAUUCGUUUUCGGACGUAGUUUGUUGACUCUGAAUACCCAGUAUAUCGACGGUUUAUCCGUCGAAAGCUCGGAAUAGUGUCUGCCCUAUCAACUAGAUGGUAGUCUAUUAGACUACCAUGGUGAUAACGGGUAACGGAGAAUAAGGGUUCGGCUCCGGAGAGGGAGCCUUAGAAACGGCUACCACAUCCAAGGAAGGCAGCAGGCGCGUAACUUAUCCACUACCACAGUGAGAUAGUGACUAAAAAUAAAAAGUCCAAUCCUAACGGAUCGGAUAUUUCAAUGAAUUGAGCUCAAAUAGCUCUAUGAGGACCUAAUGGAGGGCAAGUCUGGUGCCAGCAGCCGCGGUAAUUCCAGCUCCAUUAGUGUACAUCGAUAUUGCUGCGGUUAAAAAGCUCGUAGUUUGAUCUGGGUUGCAUGCGUUGAUACUCCUUUGGAGCUUAUCUUCGCUGCAGCUAAACUGCUGGUUAACUGCAGGUGUUUUCGGACCCUGUAGCGGCUAGCGAGAUUACUAACACAAAAUCAAAUAGCUUAGAUAAGGCGUCUGCCUGAAUGUUCUAUGCUGGAAUAAUGGAAAAGGACUUCGGUCUUAUUUAUUGGUUCUAAGUUCGAAGUAAUGAUUAAUAGAGACGAUUCGGGGCUGUUCGUAUCAUUACGCGAGGGGUGAAAUCCGUUGACCGUAGUGAGACGUCCAAAAGCGAAAGCAUUCAGCAAGAACGUCUUCAUUAAUCAAGAACGAAAGUCAGAGGUUCGAAGGCGAUUAGAUACCGCCCUAGUUCUGACCGUAAACUAUGCCAUCUAGCGAUCCGAUGGGGUAAUUUGCCUUGUCGGGGAGCUUACCGGAAACGAAAGUCUUUCGGUUCCGGGGGUAGUAUGGUUGCAAAGCUGAAACUUAAAGAAAUUGACGGAAGGGCACCACCAGGAGUGGAGCCUGCGGCUUAAUUUGACUCAACACGGGAAAACUCACCCGGCCCGGACACCGUUAGGAUUGACAGAUUGAAAGCUCUUUCUCGAUUUGGUGGUUGGUGGUGCAUGGCCGUUCUUAGUUGGUGGAUUGAUUUGUCUGGUUUAUUCCGAUAACGAACGAGACUCUAUCCUACUAAAUAGUUUCACGAUUUUCAAGUCAUGUAGACUUCUUAGAGGGAUAAGCGGUGUUUAACCGCACGAGAUUGAGCGAUAACAGGUCUGUGAUGCCCUUAGAUGUCCGGGGCUGCACGCGCGCUACACUGGAGGAUUCAGCUGGUCUUCCAUUGCCGAAAGGUAUUGGUAAACCGUUGAAACUCCUCCGUGACCGGGAUAGGGAAUUGUAAUUAUUUCCCUUGAACGAGGAAUUCCUAGUAAGUGUGAGUCAUCAGCUCACGCUGAUUACGUCCCUGCCCUUUGUACACACCGCCCGUCGCUGUCCGGAACUGAGCUGUUUCGAGAAGACUGAGGACUGCUGUUUUGAGGCUUCGGCUUCUUUACGAUGGAAAUCAGUUUAAUCGCAAUGGCUUGAACCGGGCAAAAGUCGUAACAAGGUACCUGUAGGUGAACCUGCAGGUGGAUCAUCGCUGAUUCCUAAUGGAUUCUAGCUUUGGCCUUGAUCAGUCGUUGCCGCAAUAGAAGUAGAGCUCUUGAUCUUUACUUCUGCGACUUUGAUCAACCUCAGCAUGUACAACCACGAGGUUUCCCAAAGGUUUUGCUAGCGGCACUGGUUGGACCGUCGCUAUUAUUUUUAAUAGCGUAAUAGCAAAAGAACUUACGACCUUUAGUCGUGAACGUAGGGAAAUAACGAAACUGCAUACCGUUUCACCUCGAAUCAUAUAGAUUUAGCUGGCUAUUUCAACUUUUGAAAUAAAAAGUGAGUCUUAAUGACUGGUCAUUUUUUGACUGGCGGCUAUAUUCUAUAUAACUAUCUAAAGUUUAAUUUUUGCGUUGACCGUUUAUAUUCUCUUUUUGAAUGUAACGAUCCUUGACUACCUUUAGGGAUUGAUCGGUUGCUUCCUUAAUCGAUGAAAAGCGGAGCUAGCUCCGUUAUUUACCACGAAUUGCGAACGCUUUGAGUGGCAAAAUCUUGAAUGCACAGCACCGCUGGCUUCGGCUAACGGUACGUCUGCAUCAGGGAAGUAUUAAAUACUACCAGUAGCUGGAUGCUGGUCUGUCGGACGGCUAUGGCAGGGCCUAUUUGUGCCAUACCCGUCUUAGCUCAGAAUAAUAAUUGCAACAUCGUACGAGUCUACAAACUCAUACGAACUGUAGGUCUGGCGAGAGCUUAACUGCACUGCCAAAUAACUGCCAUGAAAGCUUGACAAUGGUAUCUGUUAUUUGGUUGCCCUUGUGGUGUAGUUUCAAUCUUGUUAUUGGAUCUUAAGAAUUGCUUCCUGAUGUCAGUCGUGAUUACCCG